UCCCUCCCUCAAACACUUCUGGAACUUCAGUUAGAGCUCUGCUAGGGCAUAAGUCCUUUUGUUUCCAGCUAGCUUCUCUGUUUAAUGCUCUCAGUUCUGUAGGUUGCUCCAGAACUCGUUUGGUCUUGCUUGGUUUACCAUUCUCUGUGUUAGUACCCCAAAAAGAUGGGAAGCAUGUGGAAGGUGGACCUGAGGGUAACAAUGGUGCGGAGUAGAGGGCCCUGUCCCCUUUGGCUCUUGGGAGCAGUGUUUAAAUGACAAUAGUAUUUUGUUAUUUCUAGUUCUAGGAGUCUUGAUUUGGUGUAAUUGUUGAACUUUUGGAUUAUGUUUUGGUUAUGGCAUGGUUGUAUACCUAGUUUUCCUUGCAAGUACUUCCGUGGAUGAUUGUAAAAGUGUCUUCCUUGACUAUGAUUUAUCUGUCAGUUUUUGCUCCCUACUGUUAUAAA